rnacentral:rRNA from 1 species
UACGUAGGUGGCAAGCGUUGUCCGGAUUUAUUGGGUUUAAAGGGUGCGUAGGCGGCCUUAUAAGUCAGUGCUGAAAUAUCCCGGCUUAACCGGGAGGGUGGCAUUGAUACUGUAGGGCUUGAAUGAAGUCGAGGUAGGCGGAAUUGACGGUGUAGCGGUGAAAUGCUUAAAUAUCGUCAAGAACACCGAUAGUGAAGACAGCUUACUAGGCUUAGAUUGACGCUGAGGCACGAAAGUGUGGGGAUCAAACAGG